AGAAACUUAGGAUAAAUUAGACCAAGGGCCUUCAAAGCCCUAAGCAGAAGUUAAAGUCUUCUAGUUUCUG
rnacentral:tRNA from 1 species